rnacentral:tRNA from 4 species
GGGAGCAUAGCUCAGCUGGGAGAGCAUCUGCCUUACAAGCAGAGGGUCAUAGGUUCGAUCCCUAUUGCUCCCACCA